GGAAGGAGAGGCUGUGCAGAAGGAAGCAUUUCCCAGAGGAAGCAGUGAUUCUGUGCCAGCCUCUGCUGCAGGAAGGGAGGCGAUGCCAGGCACAGUCACUGGAGAUGAGGUUGAUGGGAAGGCUCCUCCAUUAGCUUGGCUGAAUGAAGUUCUGAAGCCCUUGGAGCCUCCUGCAGCUGUGUCUGCAGGGAGGAAUUUUCCUGCCCCUUUGCUGAUUGCUCCACGCAAGCCUGGCUCCCUUCGCAGGGGUGAGUAGUGUGUCCCUGCUGACCCCACAAGCUGUGCACUGGUUUUGUGGCAUCCAGUCCUGGGAAAUGGAACUACUUUCUGUUAAGGUCCUCCGAGA